UACGUAGGGGCAAGCGUUGUCCGGAAUCAUUGGGCGUAAAGAGCGUGUAGGCGGCCAGGUAGGUCUGGUGUGAAAACUCGAGGCUUAACCUCGAGAUGUCAUCGGAAACCAUCUGGCUAGAGUCCGGAAGAGGAGAGUGGAAUUCCGUGGUGUAGCGGUGAAAUGCGCAGAUAUCAGGAAGAACACCAAUGGCGAAAGCAGCUCUCUGGGACGGUACUGACGCUGAGACGCGAAAGCGUGGGGAGCGAACAGG
rnacentral:rRNA from 1 species